AGUCGAGCGAGCUGAAUUCAAAGAUCCCUUCGGGGUGAUUUGUUGGACGCUAGCGGCGGAUGGGUGAGUAACACGUGGGCAAUCUGCCCUAAAGACUGGGAUACCACUUGGAAACAGGUGCUAAUACCGGAUAACAACAUGAAUCGCAUGAUUCAAGUUUGAAAGGCGGCGUAAGCUGUCACUUUAGGAUGAGCCCGCGGCGCAUUAGCUAGUUGGUGGGGUAAAGGCCUACCAAGGCAAUGAUGCGUAGCCGAGUUGAGAGACUGAUCGGCCACAUUGGGACUGAGACACGGCCCAAACUCCUACGGGAGGCAGCAGUAGGGAAUCUUCCACAAUGGACGCAAGUCUGAUGGAGCAACGCCGCGUGAGUGAAGAAGGUUUUCGGAUCGUAAAGCUCUGUUGUUGGUGAAGAAGGAUAGAGGCAGUAACUGGUCUUUAUUUGACGGUAAUCAACCAGAAAGUCACGGCUAACUACGUGCCAGCAGCCGCGGUAAUACGUAGGUGGCAAGCGUUGUCCGGAUUUAUUGGGCGUAAAGCGAGCGCAGGCGGAAUGAUAAGUCUGAUGUGAAAGCCCACGGCUCAACCGUGGAACUGCAUCGGAAACUGUCAUUCUUGAGUGCAGAAGAGGAGAGUGGAAUUCCAUGUGUAGCGGUGGAAUGCGUAGAUAUAUGGAAGAACACCAGUGGCGAAGGCGGCUCUCUGGUCUGCAACUGACGCUGAGGCUCGAAAGCAUGGGUAGCGAACAGGAUUAGAUACCCUGGUAGUCCAUGCCGUAAACGAUGAGCGCUAGGUGUUGGGGACUUUCCGGUCCUCAGUGCCGCAGCAAACGCAUUAAGCGCUCCGCCUGGGGAGUACGACCGCAAGGUUGAAACUCAAAGGAAUUGACGGGGGCCCGCACAAGCGGUGGAGCAUGUGGUUUAAUUCGAAGCAACGCGAAGAACCUUACCAGGUCUUGACAUCCUGUGCUACACCUAGAGAUAGGUGGUUCCCUUCGGGGACGCA
rnacentral:rRNA from 1 species